GACGAACGCUGGCGGCGCGCCUAACACAUGCAAGUCGAACGGAGCUGAGAGAAGCUUGCUUUUCUUAGCUUAGUGGCGAACGGGUGAGUAACGCGUGAGUAACCUGCCCUGGAGUGGGGGACAACAGUUGGAAACGACUGCUAAUACCGCAUAAGCCCACGAUCCGGCAUCGGAUUGAGGGAAGAGGAUUUAUUCGCUUCAGGAUGGACUCGCGUCCAAUUAGCUAGUUGGUGAGGUAACGGCCCACCAAGGCGACGAUUGGUAGCCGGACUGAGAGGUUGAACGGCCACAUUGGGACUGAGACACGGCCCAGACUCCUACGGGAGGCAGCAGUGGGGGAUAUUGCACAAUGGGGGAAACCCUGAUGCAGCGACGCCGCGUGGAGGAAGAAGGUUUUCGGAUUGUAAACUCCUGUCGUUAGGGACGAUAAUGACGGUACCUAACAAGAAAGCACCGGCUAACUACGUG
rnacentral:rRNA from 1 species